GGCAUAUUGGACGCAGCAGGGGGGCAUAUUGGACAAUGGGCCACAAGCCUGAUCCAGCAAUUCUGUGUGCAAGAUGAAGGUCUUCGGAUNGUAAAGUGCUUUCAGUUGGGAAGAAGAAAGUGACGGUACCAACAGAAGAAGCGACGGCUAAAUACGUGCCAGCAGCCGCGGUAAUACGUAUGUCGCAAGCGUUAUCCGGAUUUAUUGGGCGUAAAGCGCGUCUAGGCGGGAAAGAAAGUCUGAUGUUAAAAUGCGGGGCUCAACUCCGUAUUGCGUUGGAAACUCCUUUUCUAGAGUAUCAGAGAGGUGGGCGGAACUACAAGUGUAGAGGUGAAAUUCGUAGAUAUUGUAGGAAUGCCGAUGGAGAAGUCAGCUCACUGGAUGAAUACUGAC
rnacentral:rRNA from 1 species